rnacentral:pre_miRNA from 1 species
UUCAUAAUCCCGAAAUUAUUGUCUUAGAUUUGUUUAGAUAUGAAUGUAUCUAGUCAUAUUUUAGUAUUUAGAUACAUCCAUUUUUAGACAAACUUAAGACAACAAUUUUGGAACGGAGGGAGUACAUC